rnacentral:rRNA from 1 species
CCUAGGGAGGCUGCAGUGGGGAAUAUUGGGCAAUGGAGGCAACUCUUACCCAGCAAUGCCGCGUGAAUGAAGAAGGUCUUCGGAUUGUAAAGUUCUUUAAUUGGGGACGAAAAAAAUGACGGUACCCAAGGAAUAAGCCCCGGCUAACUACGUGCCAGCAGCCGCGGUAAUACGUAGGGGGCAAGCGUUAUCCGGAUUUACUGGGUGUAAAGGGAGCGUAGACGGCGAUGCAAGUCUGAAGUGAAAGGCGGGGGCCCAACCCCUGGACUGCUUUGGAAACUGUAUGGCUGGAGUGCAGGAGAGGUAAGUGGAAUUCCUAGUGUAGCGGUGAAAUGCGUAGAUAUUAGGAGGAACACCAGUGGCGAAGGCGGCUUACUGGACUGUAACUGACGUUGAGGCCCGAAAGCGUGGGGAGCAAACAGGAUUAGAUACCCCGGUAGUC